CCAGUGCUUGCACUGGUACUCGAGUGGCGAACGGGUGAGUAACACGUGGGUGAUCUGCCUUGCACUCUGGGAUAAGCUUGGGAAACUGGGUCUAAUACCGGAUAGGAACCGUCUUUAGUGUGGUGGUUGGAAAGUUUUUUCGGUGCAAGAUGAGCUCGCGGCCUAUCAGCUUGUUGGUGGGGUAAUGGCCUACCAAGGCGUCGACGGGUAGCCGGCCCGAGAGGGUGUACGGCCACAUUGGGACUGAGAUACGGCCCAGACUCCUACGGGAGGCAGCAGUGGGGAAUAUUGCACAAUGGGCGGAAGCCUGAUGCAGCGACGCCGCGUGGGGGAUGACGGCCUUCGGGUUGUAAACUCCUUUCGACAGGGACGAAGCGCAAGUGACGGUACCUGUAUAAGAAGCACCGGCUAACUACGUGCCAGCAGCCGCGGUAAUACGUAGGGUGCGAGCGUUGUCCGGAAUUACUGGGCGUAAAGAGCUCGUAGGUGGUUUGUCGCGUCGUCUGUGAAAUUCCGGGGCUUAACUCCGGGCGUGCAGGCGAUACGGGCAUAACUUGAGUGCUGUAGGGGAGACUGGAAUUCCUGGUGUAGCGGUGAAAUGCGCAGAUAUCAGGAGGAACACCGAUGGCGAAGGCAGGUCUCUGGGCAGUUACUGACGCUGAGGAGCGAAAGCAUGGGUAGCGAACAGGAUUAGAUACCCUGGUAGUCCAUGCCGUAAACGGUGGGCGCUAGGUGUAGGGGGCUUCCACGUCUUCUGUGCCGUAGCUAACGCAUUAAGCGCCCCGCCUGGGGAGUACGGCCGCAAGGCUAAAACUCAAAGGAAUUGACGGGGGCCCGCACAAGCGGCGGAGCAUGUGGAUUAAUUCGAUGCAACGCGAAGAACCUUACCUGGGCUUGACAUACACCAGAUCGCUGCAGAGAUGUAGUUUCCCUUGUGGUUGGUGUACAGGUGGUGCAUGGUUGUCGUCAGCUCGUGUCGUGAGAUGUUGGGUUAAGUCCCGCAACGAGCGCAACCCUUGUCUUAUGUUGCCAGCAUUUGGUUGGGGACUCAUGAGAGACUGCCGGGGUUAAC
rnacentral:rRNA from 1 species